GCCUCUUGCGGAUUGAGUAGAGAGGAGUUUCUCAAGCCAGAUAAGAGCACAGUCUGCAAGGACUGUUCGAGACUGGUCGCUCUCUAAGGAACAAGAGUUUCCUAAGAAAACCGGAAUACCGUGGAAAUGCCUCACCUGAACUUUCCAGACCACAUUCACAUGGGCCGUGCGAUGUAAAGGAUUUUACAGCGCCAAACAAGGAAACUGAGGGAUCCAGAAGUUACAGGCUGUACAAUGUCAUCUGGCCGUGAGUCUGUAGGGGAUCUGAUUCCCCCAGAUAUGCUGCAGGUGUUCAGUGAGGACCGGCAGGGCGGCAGGGGCAAAAGGGGCAGGAGAAGGGCAGCAUCCUUCAGGCGUGCCUUCAAGUGGUUGAAGAGGCAGCGCAGGAAAACCCGCCGACGCGCUACAGAGAUACAUGGAGACCUGCUUGCCACUGGUUCACCUGUAGAACUACCAAAAUCAUCACUUGUCACAGAGGAUGAAUUGUAAAGGUUCCACAUGGGCUGUAAUAGCAGGGAGACCAUUGUGAGACCACACCACACCUCAACCCCACCCAUUUACUGAAGCAUGAAUCCACUCAAACACACACACGCCGGGCUGACACAACACACUGCAGCUUUCUUAAUGAUCGAUAUGGUGCAUAACCACAAAAAAUAAACAGUUUUUAUGUGAUUGUUCUGAGGGUGCGGUACCUACCUGCUGCCGAAGAC
rnacentral:lncRNA from 1 species